ACGAGUCUGACGGAGCACGCCGCGUGAGUGAUGAAGGCUUUCGGGUCGUAAAACUCUUUGUUAGGGAAGAACAAGUGCUAGUUGAAUAAGCUGGCACCUUGACGGUACCUAACCAGAAAGCCACGGCUACUACGUGCCAGCAGCCGCGGUAAUACGUAGGUGGCAAGCGUUAUCCGGAAUUAUUGGGCGUAAAGCGCGCGCAGGUGGUUUCUUAAGUCUGAUGUGAAAGCCCACGGCUCAACCGUGGAGGGUCAUUGGAAACUGGGAGACUUGAGUGCAGAAGAGGAAAGUGGAAUUCCAUGUGUAGCGGUAAAUGCGUAGAGAUAUGGAGGAACACCAGUGGCGAAGGCGACUUUCUGGUCUGUAAUGACACUGAGGCGCGAAAGUUGAGGAAAAAACGUAAUAAUCUCCCCGGAGGC
rnacentral:rRNA from 1 species